UCCGGCAAGUCACGAUAACAGCCACUACCCUACUCCACUCUCUGCAGUGGAUCCCGCAUGGCUCCACCACUCUCUGGCGAGUCGCGACAGUGGACACCACUCUACUCUCCAUAACAAACUCCACGUGACCCUGAACGAUCUCUGACACCACUACUCUCCGUAACAAACUCCGUGCAGCUCUGAACAGCCCACUACUAGGUGGUUACAAAUGUCACUGUCAAUCAGUUAUGCUCUCUGUCUAUAAAAAGGGACCCCCAGAUACGUUCUUCUCUAAGCUCAAAACUUUAUCCCAAAACUCUGCUAAAAUUCUCACUCAAGCACUCCAUUUCUGUUAAGGCAAAGUACUG
rnacentral:lncRNA from 1 species